rnacentral:rRNA from 1 species
GAUGAACGCUGGCGGCGUGCUUAACACAUGCAAGUCGAACGAAGAUAUUUAGAAUGAGAGCUUCGGCAGGAUUUCUAUCUAUCUUAGUGGCGGACGGGUGAGUAACGUGUGGGCAACCUGCCCUGUACUGGGGAAUAAUCAUUGGAAACGAUGACUAAUACCGCAUGUGGUCCUCGGGAGGCAUCUUCUGAGGAAGAAAGGAUUUAUUCGGUACAGGAUGGGCCCGCAUCUGAUUAGCUAGUUGGUGAGAUAACAGCCCACCAAGGCGACGAUCAGUAGCCGACCUGAGAGGGUGAUCGGCCACAUUGGGACUGAGACACGGCCCAAACUCCUACGGGAGGCAGCAGUGGGGAAUAUUGCACAAUGGGCGAAAGCCUGAUGCAGCAACGCCGCGUGAAGGAUGAAGGGUUUCGGCUCGUAAACUUCUAUCAAUAGGGAAGAAAGAAAUGACGGUACCUAAAUAAGAAGCCCCGGCUAACUACGUGCCAGCAGCCGCGGUAAUACGUAGGGGGCAAGCGUUAUCCGGAAUUACUGGGUGUAAAGGGAGCGUAGGCGGCAUGGUAAGCCAGAUGUGAAAGCCUUGGGCUUAACCCGAGGAUUGCAUUUGGAACUAUCAAGCUAGAGUACAGGAGAGGAAAGCGGAAUUCCUAGUGUAGCGGUGAAAUGCGUAGAUAUUAGGAAGAACACCAGUGGCGAAGGCGGCUUUCUGGACUGAAACUGACGCUGAGGCUCGAAAGCGUGGGGAGCAAACAGGAUUAGAUACCCUGGUAGUCCACGCCGUAAACGAUGAGUGGUUAGGUGUCGGGGAGGAAUCCUCGGUGCCGCAGCUAACGCAAUAAGCACUCCACCUGGGGAGUACGACCGCAAGGUUGAAACUCAAAGGAAUUGACGGGGGCCCGCACAAGCGGUGGAGCAUGUGGUUUAAUUCGAAGCAACGCGAAGAACCUUACCAAGGCUUGACAUCCCGAUGACCGCUCUAGAGAUAGAGCUUCUCUUCGGAGCAUCGGUGACAGGUGGUGCAUGGUUGUCGUCAGCUCGUGUCGUGAGAUGUUGGGUUAAGUCCCGCAACGAGCGCAACCCUUAUCUUCAGUAGCCAUCAUUUAGUUGGGCACUCUGGAGAGACUGCCGUGGAUAACACGGAGGAAGGUGGGGAUGACGUCAAAUCAUCAUGCCCCUUAUGUCUUGGGCUACACACGUGCUACAAUGGCUGGUAACAAAGUGACGCAAGACGGUGACGUUAAGCAAAUCACAAAAACCCAGUCCCAGUUCGGAUUGUAGUCUGCAACUCGACUACAUGAAGCUGGAAUCGCUAGUAAUCGCGAAUCAGCAUGUCGCGGUGAAUACGUUCCCGGGCCUUGUACA